rnacentral:sRNA from 1 species
AGCUUCGACCAAGGUUCGACUUGAGCGCCAGCGAGAGAGCGUUGCCGCAGGCAACGACCCGAAGGGCGAAGCGCGCAGCGCUGAGUAAUCCUUCCCCCACCACCA